GUCUAUGGCCAUGCUACCCUGAACAAGCCCAAUCCCGUCUAAUCUCGGAAGCUAAGCAGAGUUGGGCCUGGUUAGUACUUGAAUGAGAUACCACCUAGGAAGACCAAGUGCUGUAGGAG
rnacentral:rRNA from 1 species